rnacentral:lncRNA from 1 species
GUAAAUGGUUUACUCUGCCCCUGUGCCCCAUGUAACAGUUUUGAGAGCGACCACUUUUUCUGCAUCUGACCUUCAUUUAUCCGGUUGUUUAUUCACCCAGGACUACACACAUUCCAGCUUGGCAGCAGGGAUGUGGGAACGGUUGAUGAUGGAUUAACAAAGGAAGACAUUGGGAUUGGUUUAAAGCCAGAAGAUGAACUUUGUGAUUUGGGUCAAGAUAUCCUCAGAACUGUAUCCAGCUCGGGAUGGAGGUGGGUUGAGGUCACACUGCCCCAUAUAUCUCAAGUUCAUCACAGUAGUGCAGAAUUCUUCCCAAAGAAUCCGGCAUUUCCCAAAGCAGACAGCACACAUGGACAGCUUUCUUCUGCUCAUUAACACCGAACAGACCUGAGUUCGCUAACAGGACUGAACACGGUUCAUGGCAAAUGAAGCACGCUGCAAGCCGUGUGUGUGUGUAGUGUGAGCGAGAGUCAUUGGUGUAUGUGUGGGUGUGUGGAGAGAGAGAGAGAGACACAUAGACUGAGCCCCUAACACGGAGCAUGCCUCUGCGUCCGGCAGCCGGCAAACAUGAGCCACCCAGCCCUCCAUGGCAGGACCAGCAGCAGCAGC